UACGUAGGCAGCAAGCGUUGUUCGGAGUUACUGGGCGUAAAGGGUGCGUAGGCGGCUUUUUAAGUUUGGUGUGAAAUCUCCCGGCUCAACUGGGAGGGUGCGCCGAAUACCGAGAGGCUAGAGUGUGGGAGAGGAAAGUGGAAUUCCUGGUGUAGCGGUGAAAUGCGUAGAUAUCAGGAGGAACACCGGUGGUGUAAACGGCUUUCUGGACCAUAACUGACGCUGAGGCACGAAAGCGUGGGUAGCAAACAGG
rnacentral:rRNA from 1 species